GACGAACGCUGGCGGCGUGCUUAACACAUGCAAGUCGAACGGAAAGGCCCUGCUUUUGUGGGGUGCUCGAGUGGCGAACGGGUGAGUAACACGUGAGUAACCUGCCCUUGACUUUGGGAUAACUUCAGGAAACUGGGGCUAAUACCGGAUAGGAUCUCCUGCUGCAUGGUGGGGGUUGGAAAGUUUCGGCGGUUGGGGAUGGACUCGCGGCUUAUCAGCUUGUUGGUGGGGUAGUGGCUUACCAAGGCUUUGACGGGUAGCCGGCAUGAGAGGGUGACCGGCAACAAUGGGACUGAGAUACGGAGCAGAAUGCAACGGGAGGCAGCAGGGGGGAAUAUUGCAAAAUGGGAGGAAGGCUGAGGCAGCAACGCCGCGUGCGGGAUGAAGGGCGUCGGGUUGUAAACCGAUGUCGCCUGUGACGAAGAGUGAGUGACGGUAAUGGGUAAAGAAGCACCGGCUAACUACGUG
rnacentral:rRNA from 1 species